CAGUCGCCGCGGUAAUACGAAGGGGGCUAGCGUUGUUCGGAAUUACUGGGCGUAAAGCGCACGUAGGCGGAUAUUUAAGUCAGGGGUGAAAUCCCGCAGCUCAACUGCGGAACUGCCUUUGAUACUGGGUAUCUUGAGUAUGGAAGAGGUAAGUGGAAUUCCGAGUGUAGAGGUGAAAUUCGUAGAUAUUCGGAGGAACACCAGUGGCGAAGGCGGCUUACUGGUCCAUUACUGACGCUGAGGUGCGAAAGCGUGGGGAGCAAACAGGAUUAGAUACCCCCGUAGUCCCUGUCUCUUAUAC
rnacentral:rRNA from 1 species